CACUGACUUCACAGCAGGGCCUGAAAGUGAACCCGAACAAGAUACUAAAGUUUUUGCCAGGAUCCUGCGGGCUCCUGAAUCCCACAAUGUCACCUUUGGCUCCUUUGUGACCCUGCACUGUACAGCAACAGGCAUUCCUGUCCCCACCAUCACCUGGAUUGAAAACGGAAAUGCUGUUUCUUCUGGGUCCAUUGAAGAGAGUGUGAAAGACCGAGUGAUUGACUCAAGACUGCAGCUGUUUAUCACCAAGCCAGGACUGUACACAUGCAUAGCUACCAAUAAGCAUGGGGAGAAGUUCAGUACUGCCAAGGCUGCAGCCACCAUCAGCAUAGCAGAAUGGAGUAAACCACAGAAAGAUAACAAAGGCUACUGCGCCCAGUACAGAGGGGAGGUGUGUAAUGCAGUCCUGGCAAAAGAUGCUCUUGUUUUUCUCAACACCUCCUAUGCGGACCCUGAGGAGGCCCAAGAGCUACUGGUCCACACGGCCUGGAAUGAACUGAAAGUAGUGAGCCCAGUCUGCCGGCCAGCUGCUGAGGCUUUG
rnacentral:sRNA from 1 species